GCCUUAGCUCAGCUGGGAGAGCGCCUGCCUUGCACGCAGGAGGUCAGCGGUUCGAUCCCGCUAGGC
rnacentral:tRNA from 2 species